GUGUCAGCAGCCGCGGUAAUACGGAGGGUGCGAGCGUUGUCCGGAAUCACUGGGCGUAAAGGGCGCGUAGGCGGCUCGUCAAGCGUGCGGUGAAAGCCCGGGGCUCAACUCCGGGUCGGCCGUGCGAACUGGCGGGCUUGAGCACUGUAGAGGCGGGUGGAAUUCCGGGUGUAGCGGUGGAAUGCGUAGAGAUCCGGAAGAACACCGGUGGCGAAGGCGGCCCGCUGGGCAGUUGCUGACGCUGAGGCGCGACAGCGUGGGGAGCAAACAGGAUUAGAUACCCUCGUAGUCC
rnacentral:rRNA from 1 species